GGAAGGUGCAAGCGUUAAUCGGAAUUACUGGGGCGUAAAGCGCGCGUAGGCGGCUAGAUAAGUCGGGUGUGAAAGCCCUGGGGCUCAACCUGGGGAACUGCAUUCGAUACUGUCUAGCUAGAGUGUGGUAGAGGGAGGCGGAAUUCCGCAUGCAGCGGUGAAAUGCGUAGAGAUGCGGAGGAACACCAAUGGCGAAGGCAGCCUUCUGGACCAACACUGACGCUGAGGCGCGAAAGCGUGGGGAGCAAACAGGAUUAGAUACCCUGGUAGUCCACGCCGUAAACGAUGUCAACUAGCCGUUGGGAGCAAUUUGGUUCUUGGUGGCGCAGCUAACGCGAUAAGUUGACCGCCUGGGGAGUACGGUCGCAAGAUUA
rnacentral:rRNA from 1 species